rnacentral:rRNA from 1 species
UACGAAGGGGGCUAGCGUUGUUCGGAUUUACUGGGCGUAAAGCGCACGUAGGCGGAUCGUUAAGUCGGGGGUGAAAUCCUGGAGCUCAACUCCAGAACUGCCUUCGAUACUGGCGAUCUUGAGUCCGGAAGAGGUGAGUGGAACUCCUAGUGUAGAGGUGGAAUUCGUAGAUAUUAGGAAGAACACCAGUGGCGAAGGCGGGCUCACUGGUCCGGUACUGACGCUGAGGUGCGAAAGCGUGGGGAGCAAACAGG